rnacentral:lncRNA from 1 species
AGUUGGUAGUCGGUUAUUUAUUGUAUAGUUUGCAAUUGAAAUUGAUUUUGGCAGUUAACCAAAGGGGAAUGAAAACGCAAGGAGCAUAGUAACGAUGGGGAUAACAACAAUUUUUUUUUUAGAACAACAAAUUAAUUUUUUUUUAGAACAAUAAGUCAAUUUAUUUUUUUUACUAAAUAAAUCAAAGUUUUAUGCAACCUAAAAAUAAGGAAUCUCCUAAAUAGAUACACACACCAGAUAAUAUAGAAAACUAUUAUUAGCCUUUGAUUAAAAUAAUAGACGGUUAAGAUUUGGUGUCAAAUUAAAGUUUGACACCUGGUGUC